AAAGCUACUAAUUGGCUUACAGAAACUGACUAAAAUAGGAGGUCUUUUCCUUGGAAGGAAAAGAUGUAAUAAUCUCAGUUUUGGAUAAAAUUGGGUAGAACAGAUUUCCCUACGGUGGUUAAAGGGAUAAAAACACAAGAUAUCCCCAGCAUCUACAUUACAGACUUCAAUGAAGGAAGUAAAAAUAUCUCAAUAGUUGAGUUGAGGAAGUGGGUCAAGGAUAUGAAUAUCCACAGAUGCUGACAAGGGAAAUAUAUGUUAUAUUCAUAAAAUUCAAGUAAUUAAGAUAGGUAAGUAUACAUGUCCACUUAGGUUAGAUGUUAAUUCUUAAUAAGUAACAUAAUGAUCUGAGGCUCUUUGUGUGCCACUUCUACAUCUCAAACUUUGACGUGGAUCCCCUGGAGAUCUUGUUAAAGUACAGAUUAUGAUUCAGUAGGGUCUGAAAUUCUGCAUUUCUAAUAAGCUCCAAGGUCAUAUUGAAGCCGCUAUUCUGCUGAGCAAGGUUUCCACUAUCUGAGAGGCAGUAUUCCACAGGACCUAAGUGGGUCCACUCUUUAGCCACACUGCCUAGAUUAGAAGACUGGCUCUGCCCGCUUACUAACUAUAUGACUAUGGGAAGAUUAAUGAACUUCUCUGUGUCUCAGUUUCUUCAUUUGAAAAAUGAGAAUAAUGUUAACUUCCUCCAGUGAUGUUGUGAAGAAUAAAUGUGUUGAUUUAUAUGAAGUGUUUAGAAAAGUCAACAACAUUGUUAAUUGUACAUAUUGUUUGUCAAGCUUGCCAUAUCAAAAAUAUCUAUGUGUUUUUGACUACUAAAUACCUAUGUGUUUUUGAUUGGUAUUUAAUUGGCUACUUGUGUACUAGUUGUUUAAAAAGGGACAAGGUGACUAAUUAUUGAGUUUUAUGUAGUUGUUACACUUCUUCACAUAACGCUUGUCACAGAACAAUAUAGUCAUAUAUUCUGGGCAUUUUUCACUCAGGAUGAGUGUGGCUGAUGAGGCUGAUGUAUUCUUGGAUUUUUCUAGGUGAUGAUUCAUCUGGGCUGGGCCUUUCAUUAGGGCCUGUUGAGAAAGAAUUGAAGUAGUAAAGCUGAGCUUCAGGGAAUCCUCUAAAUAGAUUGGUUGAAACACAGUCUGGUUUAUAUACAUAAUCUCAAUGAAGCCUCAACACAUCCUUGUGGCAUAAGUAAUAUAAGCCCCAUUCAACUUAUUAGAAAACUAUUACAGGCGUGGGUUAAGUAAAUUGUUUGAUGUGACCUAGCCAGUAAAUGGCAAUGAUGGAGUAUUAAUAUAAGUAUGUCUGAAUCCAGUAUCAAGUCAUUUAGGCAGAAUUCAUCACUUCUCUACGAAAAGUGUUAAGUGUUAAAAAUAUUUCUGAAAGUUUUCUCUUGUAUCCAAACAUUUUUAUAUUCAGUAUUCUAUUUGUCCUGGUGAUCCUGAGCUCCCUUGAGGACAUUGGUGGCACUAAGGGGAGGCUUACACAGAACUGGUGCCUUGAACUCAGUUUCCCCUCACCACCCUUAUCACACUGGAGGCUACCCAGGGUGGACUCAGAGUGGAAGGAGAAUUGUCCAUGUGGACCACAGGCUCUCACCGUGGAAUGAUUCUGGAGGACUUGAUAGUGUGGCUAGAGGUUCUAUUUUAAGCUCUGAGAAAUGUGGAAAAUCUCCUGGGGAGGUCAACAGUUGACCCUGGCCCUUUCCUCUCUGGUGCAACCUCCAAAGGGCUAUUCUAUUUCUCUCGCUUGUCACUGAGCUCUACUUCAUGUGUAAAGGCAGGUUGGAUAGUUUCCAAAUCUUUGUUGGGAUGCCCCUCUAAACCUUGGAUAAAGUCUUUCCCUGUGGCCCCAUUGUUAGCAGUUAUUACAUGUCCAAUGUUUGCCUGUAAUGCUGCUACAGGUCUUUUUUGACACAUUAGUUUUGAAAAUUGUUUUUGACAGCAGCUCUUUUGGACACUAAGGACCUGGAAGGCAGAGACCUUAUCUUGUCUCAUUUAUAUCCCCCAAAUCUAGUACAUGGCCUGAAACUGUGUUUAUUAAAUGAAGA
rnacentral:lncRNA from 1 species